rnacentral:rRNA from 1 species
UACAGAGGGUGCAAGCGUUGUUCGGAAUUAUUGGGCGUAAAGAGCUCGUAGGCGGUCUGUUGCGUCUGCUGUGAAAACUCGGGGGCUUAACCCCCGAGCCUGCAGUGGAUACGGGCAGACUAGAGGUAGGUAGGGGGAGAAUGGAAUUCCCGGUGUAGCGGUGAAAUGCGCAGAUAUCGGGGAGGAACACCGGUGGCGAAGGCGGUUCUCUGGGCCUUACCUGACGCUGAGGAGCGAAAGCGUGGGGAGCGAACAGG